CGGGGGGAGCAAGCGUUGUUCGGAUUUACUGGGCGUAAAGGGCGCGUAGGCGGCCACCGCAAGUCAAUUGUGAAAUCUCCGGGCUUAACUCGGAAAGGUCAACUGAUACUGCGGGGCUAGAGUGCAGAAGGGCAACUGGAAUUCUCGGUGUAGCGUGAAAUGCGUAGAUAUCGAGAGGAACACCUGCGGCGAAGGCGGGUUGCUGGGCUGACACUGACGCUGAGGCGCGAAAGCUAGGGGAGCGAACGGGAUUAGAUACCCCGGUAGUCCUAGCCUUAAACGAUGAAUGCUUGGUGUCUGGGGUUAUAAAGUCCCCGGGUGCCGUCGCUAACGCUUUAAGCAUUCCGCCUGGGGAGUACGGUCGCAAGACUG
rnacentral:rRNA from 1 species